GACGAACGCUGGCGGCGUGCUUAACACAUGCAAGUCGAACGGAAAGGCCCUGCUUUUGUGGGGUGCUCGUGUGGCGAACGGGUGUGUAACACGUGUGUAACCUGCCCCUGUCUUUGGGAUAACUUCAGGAAACUGGGGCUAAUACCGGAUAGGAGCUCCUGCUGCAUGGUGUGGGUUGGUAAGUUUCGGCGGUUGGGGAUGGACUCGCGGCUUAUCAGCUUGUUGGGGGGGUAGUGGCUUACCAAGGCUUUGACGGGUCGCCGGCCUGAGAGGGUGACCGGCAACAUUGGAACUGGGAUACGGCCCAGACUCCUACGGGAGGCAGCAGUGGGGAAUAUUGCACAAUGGGCCGAAGCCGAAUGCAGCAACGCCGCGUGCGGGAUGACGGCCUUCGGGUUGAAACCCGCUUUCGCCUGUGACGAAGCGUGAGUGACGGUAAUGAGUUAAGAAGCACCGGCUAACUACGUG
rnacentral:rRNA from 1 species